rnacentral:rRNA from 1 species
GACGAACGCUGGCGGCGUGCCUAAUACAUGCAAGUCGAACGCACAGUUUAUACCGUUGCUUGUUUCACCAUAGCCUGUGAGUUGCGAACGGGUGAGUAACGCGUAGCUUAUCUGCCUGGUAGCGGGUGAUAACUACUGGGAACGAACGCUAUUACCGCAUAAUCUUCAUUAUUGCAUGAUAAUUAAUUGUAAGGUGCAAUUGCACAACUACAUGAUGGCCCUGCGGUGUAUUAGCUAGUAUGUGAGAUAACGGCUCCACUAAGCGACGACACAUAUACGACCUGAGAGGGGGAUCGGCCACACUAGGACUGAGACACGGCCCAGACUCCUACGGGGGGCAGCAGUAGGGAAACUUCGGCGAUAGGCGAAAGACUGACAGAGCAACACCGCGUGAGAGAAGAAAGGUUUCGGGUCGUAAAGCUCGGUGUUAAGAGAAGAACGGGAGUGAGAAUGGAAAGUUCACACUGUGACGGGAACUUACCAAAAAGGGACGGCUAACUACGUG